rnacentral:snoRNA from 1 species
GAGGCAUGAUGAUGAAAAUCUUUACAUAUUUUCUGAUAUUUAAUGAUUGAAAUAAAUCCUCCUACUCAUUCUGA